rnacentral:rRNA from 1 species
GUAACACGUAGUCAACCUACCCUGUAGACACGGAUAACCCCGGGAAACUGGGACCAAUCCGUGAUAGGUCACUUCAUCUGGAAGGAGAGGUGGUCCAAAGGGGAAUCGUGGGCUUCCACUUUUCUCGCUACAGGAUGGGACUGCGGCCGAUCAGGCUGUUGGCGGGGUAAUGGCCCACCAAACCUGUAACCGGUACGGGCCUUGAGAGAGGUGGCCCGGAGAUGGACACUGAGACAAGGGUCCAGGUCCUACGGGGCGCAGCAGGCGCGAAACCUUCGCAAUGCGCGAAAGCGUGACGAGGUUAAUCCGAGUGGCUUCCGCUGAGGAAGUCUUUUGCCGACUGUAAAAAGGUCGGAGAAUAAGGGGAGGGCAAGUCUGGUGUCAGCCGCCGCGGUAAUACCAGCUCCUCGAGUGGUCGGGGCGAUUAUUGGGCCUAAAGCAUCCGUAGCCUGUUCCGUAGGUCUCCUGCAAAAUCCAGUCGCUCAACGAUUGGCCCGCAGGAGAUACCGCGGGACU